rnacentral:rRNA from 1 species
AGGAUGAACGCUGGCGGCGUGCUUAACACAUGCAAGUCAAGGGGGCCCAGCAAUGGGUAACCGGCGAACGGGUGCGUAACACGUGAGCAACCUACCGAAUUGUGGGGGAUAGCCGGCCCAACGGCCGGGUAAUACCGCAUACGCUCGAGACGAGACAUUUCGACUCGAGGAAACCUACGGGACAUUUCGAGGGGCUCGCGGCCUAUCAGCUAGUUGGUGAGGUAACGGCUCACCAAGGCGACGACGGGUAGC